AUUAAUUGUAUGACAUCUGAUCAGGAACCCAGCUGCUGCAAACUAUGCUAUAAACAGGAAGGUCAGAGCGAACAAAUCAAACAUGCCUCUGGUGCUGAACGCUGCAACGGCACGACUGGAAGGGAAAUAGAGCAGAGGCUCAUUUGAAGGGGUAGGGCUGCCGGCAUCCCACUGCCGGUUGCAUUUGCACCGACUCCAUGUGAAUGAUAAAUGAGGAAGUGAAAUAACCACCUGCUGCGAAGCACCUGCCUUGAAGACCACUCAGCAUUCAGGUAAGGCAAAUGUGUUGUUACUGUGGGGAAGGAAUCGGCAAGGAGCCUUCUCGCCUCAAACAAACAAGGACUUAAAAGCCCUGUGAAUCAGGUCUUAAAGUGAAAAAAUGGGGUGAUUGGAUCUCUCAGUUCAUCAGAAGUACCCUUCUGUGAGGAGUCAGAGUGGUAAGAGAGGUAGGGAAGUGUAACUUAGGGGUUAUUUCUUAUUCUCAAGGUGAAGGAAGGAGGUAGAAAAUCCUAUCCCUAGAUCCAAAUAGCAACCUUUGUCUUUGUCCUCGGGUGAAGAGGCAAAAAAUUUUCCCCUUAGUAAAUUAUCUUCAUGUGAAGCUACUCUGAGAGAUCACAUCAGUGUUGAUGGAAGAGGUGGUUUGGGACCAACAGAAGGUGCAAGGCUUUCCCAGGUAACCACAUGAGUUUUGCUUUCAGCUACAACCAGUGACGAAGAAGGAAGAACGGUGGCUACUAAGCAUAUAUUUGAGGAAGAACAGCCAUUGAUGCAGGGAGUUGUUGCCUGACAUAAGAUCAUGCUCGUGUGCAAAGGUGUAAAGAUGAGGGUGCUCAUCAGUCUUCUUCUGACUCCAUGCUUGGUUUUGGGGGUUAGAACUAUUCGAGAGAGCAUCCCAAUGCAGACCCUACAGUGUUAUAACGACUACGUAUCUCUUACAACUUGCACAUGGAUGGAGUGUUCAGAGGCUCAUGAAUUCCUGAAUGUGACUCUGAAUUUUAACAAGUAUGAAAAGUAAGUGCCUGUCUGGUCUUCUGAAAAUGGUCUAAAGGGGCUUGACUGCUGAACCUAAGAGAUGGAGC
rnacentral:lncRNA from 1 species